rnacentral:misc_RNA from 1 species
UGUGGGUAAAUGAAACUAGAGAAAUAAAGAAUUUGGUUAGAAGUAUAACACUAUAAUAGGAUAACAAAAAAAUCAUGAAAAUGAAGGAGUUAUGCACCAAUUAAAGGAACAAUUCCACAAGAGGUGCAGAAUUUAGCAAUUUAAAAUUUUUCUUAAGUUAGGAUUUCAUGCAUCAUGCUACCAUAUUUAGCUACUGAAAAUUUUAACUUUUAGUUACACUAAAUCAUGCUUUAAGCCCAGGAUAAGCCUAAUUGCCAUUAGGAAACAUUUUCCCCAAAUUAAACUUGAUUUGGGUUUUGGAGAUUACAUACCCUUCAAGGUGCAGAAUCAAUCAAUUUCACCUUAAUCGGGUAUUGAAGACUCCCAAUUGCAAGUCAUCUAGCUUGUCCACACAAGCACUUGACCAAGAACACCUUGAACAGCCAAUAACUCUUCCAAAUUCUUCAAAAGUUUGGCAGCCAAGAAAAAGGGAGGAAGAGUAUGUUGUAUUCUAAUGGUUUUCUUAUUGGAAGUAAGGGAGAAACACUUUCUCUAAGGAUUAAUUCAAGAAGACAACAACUUGUGUUCUUGAAUUUUAUCAAGGAUGGGGAUGAAACUAUAGAGAGGGAGAGAAACCAAGGAUGGCCAGCACACUUGAGGAAGAAAAAGUGUUAGUUUCUUCUCCUUUAUCCCAACUUAAAUACCUUAAUUAAUAUUAGUGAGCAAAUGUUGAAUUUCAAUUGGUUAAUCAAAAUUCUUGUCCAAUCCUCGUUGGACCAUUUGUCAC